AUGGGUUCCAGGCUCUUCAAUUGCCUGGCCCUUUGUCUCCUGGUGUCAGGUCCAGUGGAUCCUAGAAUUAUCCAGACACCCAAACAUCUGGUGACAGUCAUGGGGAAUGAAAGGACCCUGAAAUGUGAACAGCAUCUGUCUCACAAUGCUAUGUACUGGUAUAGACAAAAUGCUAAGAAGUCCCUACAGCUCAUGUUUUCCUAUUACCAUCAAAAACUCGUUGAAAACCAGACUAUUUCAACCCGAUUCCAACCUCACAAUCCAGAGAAUUCCUACCUAGACCUUCAGAUCUCAGCCCUGGAGCCUGACGACUCAGCCACAUAUUUCUGUGCUAGCAGCCAAGACACAGCCCUGCAGAGCUCUUGCCCCCCUGUACACAAACCUCCUCAGUCUAUCCAGGAAACGUUGCUGUAA